GUGGGGAUUAGUGGCGAACGGGUGAGUAACACGUGGGCAAUCGCGCCCUGCCUUCUGGGACCUGCCCUGAAAACGGGGUCUAAUACCGGAUACUGCCUUUGGGCAUCCAAUGGUUCGAAAGCUCCGGCGGUGCAUGAUGAGCCCGCGGCCUAUCAGCUUGUUGGUGAGGUAAUGGCUCAACAAGGCGACCACCGGUAGCCGGACUGAGAGGGCGACCGGCCACCUGGGACUGAACACGGCCCAAACUCCUACGGAGCAGCAGUGGGAAUAUUGCACAAUGGGCGAAGGCCUGAUGCAUCGACCCGCGUGAGGGAUGACGGCCUUCGGGUUGUAAACCUCUUUCAGCAGGAACAAGCAAAGUGACGGUACCUGCACAAGAAACUCCGGCUAACUACAUGCCUGCACCCGCGUUAAGACGUAGGCGCCAGCGUUGUCCGGAAUUAUUGGGCGUAAAAAGCUCGUAGCUGCUUGGCACGUCUGUUGUUAAUACCCGGUACUUAACCCCGGGUCUGCAUCGAUACGGUCAGGCUAUAGUUCGGUAGGGGAGAUCGGAAUUCCUGGUGUACCGUUGAAAUGCCCACAUAUCGGGAGAACACCGGUGGCAAAUGCGGAUCUCUGGGCCGAUACUGAGGCUGAGGAGCGAAGCGUGGGGACCGAACACGAUUAAUACCCUGGUAGUCCACCCAUAGACGGUGGGCACUAGGUGUGG
rnacentral:rRNA from 1 species